GGACCGGUGGGGCGGCGGGACGGGCCCCCGGGCGCGCGGCCUGCGGGCGCAGCGGAAUGACGCGGGCUUCGUUCGGCACGUGGCUGGUCACC
rnacentral:tRNA from 1 species